rnacentral:lncRNA from 1 species
UGUGGUCUUAUCUGAUGCUUUUUGCAAUUACUUUUUGAUUUUGACUCCUUUAAAAUGAUGUGUUGCUUUCGUCAAUAUUUGUGAGUUAUAACUAAUAAUGAGAAUUCUUGAUCAACUUCACAAUCUUGUUUCUCAUAGAGUGCAAACAACUUAUCACUGUCUGAACAGUUUACCUUAUAAUCCACAUUUCAAUUCAUACACUAUAAAGUAAUGUUAUCAAACACAUAUAUCAGUUUAUAGAGUUACGUGUGUUUGUGUAUGUGUUUUUGUGUGUGUGUGAGUCUGUGUGUAUGUGUGUUUGUGUACGUAUGAGUGUCUUUGUGUGUGUGUGUGUUAAUGUGAUUGUGUGUGUGAUGUGUGUGCGUGUGUGUGUGUUUAUGUGUUUAUGUUGGUGGUAUGUGUGUGGGGGUAUAAGUUUGUAUGUAUGUAGGUGUGUGCGUGUGUGUAAUAUAUGUGUUUGUGUGGGUGUUUGUGUGUGUGUGUCAAUGUUUAUGGGUGUGUGUGUGUGUGUGUCUGAAUGUGUGUUUGUGUGUUGUGUGUGCAUGUUUGUGUGAGAGUGUGUGUGUGCGUGUGUGUUUGUUUGGUAAUCUGGGUGUGUGUGAGUGUGUGUGUGUGUUUGUGUUUGUAUAAUUACGUGUGUUUGUGUAUGUGUUUGUGUGUGUGUGUGUGUUUGUAGUGUAAUAUUUGUG